UACAGAGGUCCCAAGCGUUGUUCGGAUUUACUGGGCGUAAAGGGUGCGUAGGUGGCGGGGUAAGUCUGGUGUGAAAGCUCCGAGCUCAACUCGGAAAAGCAUUGGAAACUAUCCCGCUGGAGGGUCGGAGGGGAGACUGGAAUUCUCGGUGUAGCAGUGAAAAUGCGUAGAUAUCGAGAGGAACACCAGUGGCGAAGGCGAGUCUCUGGACGACUCCUGACACUGAGGCACGAAAGCUAGGGGAGCAAACGGG
rnacentral:rRNA from 1 species